GCGCCCGUAGCUCAGCUGGAUAGAGCGACAGCCUCCGGAGCUGUAGGCCGGGCGUUCGAAUCGCCCCGGGCGCACUA
rnacentral:tRNA from 1 species